UACCGUCAUCAUAAUCGUCAUCGUCAUUGUCUUCAUUACCGUCAUCAUAAUCAUCAUCGCCAUUGUCUUCAUUAUCGUCAUCAUAAUCGUCAUCAUUGCCAUUGUCUUCAUUACCGUCAUCUUAAUCGUCAUCAUCGCCAUUGUCUUCAUUACCGUUAUCAUAAUCGUCAUCAUCGCCAUUGUUUUCAUUACCGUCAUCAUAAUCGUCAUCAUUUGCCAUUGUCUUCAUUACCGUCAUUAUAAUCGUCAUCAUCGCCAUUGUUUUCAUUACCGUCAUCAUAAUCGUCAUCAUUUGCCAUUGUCUUCAUUACCGUCAUCAUAAUCGUCAUCAUUGCCAUUGUCUUCAUUACCGUCAUCAUAAUCGUCAUCGCCAUUAUGCUCGUCAUUGUCUUCAUUAUCGCCAUAAUCAUCGCCAUCGUCGUCGGUCACAGUCUACUCCUCACUCUGGCUCCUCUCUGAGUGGACUCUCUCUCUGCUCUCCCCCUGCUCUGCGUGGCUUUCCUCCGGGCCCUUUGGACCCCUCCUACCUCGGCCAGAUCACGGCGCCGUGUGCCCGGCGCUCGGCCACACACGCUGCUACUGAUGCUCCUGCUGUUAUGGAGUGACUCGUGCAGCCAGCUAUGGCUGCAAUGUUUGGUCGUACAUGUUAUGUAUAUCGUUUAUUGUUAAAUUUGAAUCACAGUUCCUAUGGUCACUGUUACAUUGUUUUUAUAGCUUUAUUUUGGUGAUUUUGAAAACGUUUUGGUUUAGCCAUGUUUGUUUGUUGAAGUACAGAGUUAGCCUGAUAACUUUAAUCUAAAUCGUAUUAUGGUUGUUAUUGUUUAACUUGCAUCCCACUGGGAUUUUUGCACACAGCGUUGAUAUACGGUGCUUUUUCUGGAAAACUUUGCCGUUUUUUCGUGGAUUUUUCUGUUGCGUGUCGUCACUUUAAGAUGUUUCUUGUUCAUGUUUUUGUUUGUUGCGGUUGCACUUGAGUCAAGAGCUGCAUGGCUCACAGGGCUAUACCUAAUACAUGAAACUGAAAACUGAAAAGUCGGCACCAACACCGCCGCACGAGCUGAUCUCACCACUCCGUCUCCACCGUGGAGGUCUUCUCAGACGCGUUCUCUAUUCCUUGGCUGCCACUCUGUUAUUGUCCUUGACCACAGGCCACGUGACGUGUCCUGUCGAAGCCUUUUUGAUGUGCUAUGAAGGCCCGUUUCCUGAAACUUCUAUUAUGUUGAGAAAUGUAAUAUAGCUUUUUUGUGGGUCUAGGGUUAGAUGUGUGAGUGUAUGUGUCUCUGUGCGAGGAGUCUGUGUCCGUUUAAUCCAUGGCUUUCUGUGUGAGUCUGUGAUUCUAUGUGAGUCUAUGUAUCUGUGUGUAAGUCUAUGGGUCUCUACUUCAGUCGAUGGUUCUCUGUGUAAGUCUAUGGGGCUCUAUGUGAGUUUAUGGUGACCGGGCUGAGACCACCAUCUCACUGCCGGUGUAAUCACCGUCAGCGCCGAACACCCGCGUUGGAACCCAGGAGCUCAGCGGUGCCACUCUCCGCAUCUCUGCCACCGCUCUGCUGCUUCUUCUCAACGUCCUUGCUGUUGUUCACAGAUCUCCUUGACGACGACAUCACAAAGUCCGUCGCCUGCGCCAAGUUGAUUCUCAAGCAGCAGGGACUGAAGGCCUGGUAUGGCUGGAAGUCGAAGUGUCAGGACUUCGACGUGUCGGUGUACCUGCAGGGCUGUAAGUUCUAGACGUGACGCCGCAGGAGGAGGAGACGGGGGCUUUGGCCGGGGGACGCCGCUCGCCCAACGUCGCUGCUGGGUUCAUCUCGGCUCGCUCCGAGCUUGCUUUGAAACACAAACAGACCGAAACAAAAACGGAAACAUUGCAUUGAUCACGCCACGGGAUAUUGACAAAGCCGAUCAGAAUGAUGUCAUCUGACAAUCUAUAGCGCGGGUAAUCGGAAUAUAAAUGUUUAGUGGAAGGAAUCCGAUGAGCUGUGAAGCUAUUUGAUCACAAGAUGUCCAGUCGAGCACGGGGUCAGAACGUGACAUCAAUGACCAAUACAAACUCACGAUAGGAGUGCACAGUAUAAGAAAUGUAAACAAAUUACUUGAGCAAUAUAUACGAAGAAAACUAAACUUUUUUGAGGUAAGGCGUGUUGCUCAGAGGCCUAUGGACGCCGCGGUGGCGAGAUGUUAACUACCUCGCCUGGCAUACAGGAGGUCGUAGGUUCGAUCCACGACCCUGACGCCUGCUGCUGUAUAUUUGCGCGUCUCUCCCGGUGGUGGCAUGGAUUUUUCUCACGCCUUUUAGAGUAUAUGGCUUCUAUACAUUUCCACAUGAUGAUGAUGAUGACAAAUAAGCCACUUCGUAGGGCUAUCAUUUGUGAUGGGCCCGGUCGCUUCUGAGAAGAAAACAACAAAUUCUUACCGAGUAAAGUAAAACAAAUGAUGUGCUAAUUAUGACGUCACCCGCUACUGCACUACACUGUGAUCAUUGGGGCAUCGUCUAUUAUCGAAUGGUAACACAACCAUGUAUACACACACACAGCCAGCCCUUGGGGUCUAUCCACUACUUCACCACGCUUGUUAAUGCAACCAGCACUAUAGAACCUGUUAUGCACCCAUGCACAAGCACUGUCCGGUCUGUAUAAUUGCAAAUUGUGUUUUUUAUAUUUACUGCUUAAGAAGAUAAUUUUCUAAUUGCGUGCGUUCAUUAUGUCGCCGUAACUACCAAUAAACCAAUCGCAUGUCGCUAUGAGCAAUG